AAUAAUUUUAAAAUUUUCGGAGUAAUAAGGUGCUAGUUUGAAAAAGAUGCUCAAAGAGCCACCCCCGGUAUCAUAUUGGUUAGAUCUCUAUUUUGAACGUGUUACGAUAAAUUGGUGUCAAUUUUGUUGAAUUUCUAAAAAUCAUUUUUCAUCAACUCACAUCUUGAUAAUUUUGAAACUUGAAAUCAGUUUUGAUUAUGAAAUUUUUGAUGUUUGGAUGUUUUUUGAAAUUUUAUAAUAUAUUAAUUUCAUCAUAAUAAUUUUUGGAGUAAAAACCUUAAUUUAUAUGAAAUUAAUUUAAUUUGAUGGAUUUUUAAAGGAAAAUUUUUGAAAUCAAGGAUCGUGUACCGGUACAGGAUCGUGUACCGGUACGGGUACUGUAGCCGCGGAUGUAUAUCCGGUUACAGAGCUAGUG
rnacentral:lncRNA from 1 species